UGAAAGGGCCGCGAGACAAGCGUUUGGGCAGCUCCCUGUUUAUGAAAGAAAAUUCCAAAAUGAGGCUUAAACCAAACAGGGAUGUUUUACUUUUCUGUCUUGGCUUUCUUUGUUUCAGCCAAAUAUGCUGUGUAAGCCUCGAAAUCAUGCGAACACAAGAGAGACACGGAGAGGAAAAAAACGAUAAUGUUCGAGUGGGUACCAUUAUGUUCGGUAGAGAUAUUCCUGAUUUUGGCCCAGUGAAAAAUGAGGAUGGCUUUAACAUUCAAGCCGACGCUGCUGAGCUGGUUGGUGGACAAGAUGUCAUUGAUGACUCCAGUUCUUCUAAGGCAGCCUGGGCUAGUAUGCGACCAACUGUGUUAUGUACUAAGGACCUCAUGAAGUUCUCGGCACAAGGCCCAGGAUCCUCUUCACUUCAGCUAGACAGAGCAGGAGGAACACCGCUCAAGCUAAACCAGCUGCCGCAGGACUGUGGCUACUCUGUGUACAGGACCCUACUGGGCUUUGUGUUUCUCAUCACCUAUAAUGGUUGUGAUGUUAUAAAUCAGGGUGGCAAUCAUUUGCUCCAGAUGUUAUGGCAAGGCAAUCCAGUAACCCUUUCUUGCCCUAUGUCAACCCAAGCCUUUCAAUCUCCUAUGGAUCCACCACUUAUCCAUCCAUCAGCUCCCACUACUGGAGCUCCAUGUACUACAGAAGCAACUUCAUCCACUGCCUCUAAGCUUCCCCCACAAGAUCAGCAACAGUUGAUGCACUCUGACUUUGUGUACCCAGGAUACUCUAACACUUUCAUGCCAGUGCCACAAGAUCAGCAGCAACAGCAACAGUUGAUGCAGCAGCAGCAGCAGCAACAGUUGAUGCACUCUGACUUUGUGUACCCAGGAUACUCUAACACUUUCAUGCCAGUGCCACAAGACCAGCAGCAACAGUUGAUGCAACAGUUGAUGCAGCAGCAGCAGCAACAGUUGAUGCAGCAGCAGCAGCAACAGUUGAAGCAGCAGCAGCAGCAGCAGCAAGAAUUGAUGCACUCUUACCUCAUGUACCCAGGAUACAGAAACCCUUUCAUGCCAGUAAAGGCUCCCCCUCAAACUACUGCAGCUCCCACUACUGAAGCUCCAACUACCACAGAAGCAACUUCAUCCACUGCCUCUAAGCUUCCCCCACAAGAUCAGCAGCAGCAACAACAACUGAAGUGGCUUCAACGACGAUCAAGCCAUCCAAUCAAGUCCAGCAGCAGUUAAUGGACACUGACCAGUUUUACCACGAGUACCUUUUCAUGCCAGCUAAGGCUCCAGCAUCCACUGCUGCUCCGACGACCGCUCCAUCAGAACUGCCAACAACCAGCCUACCCUCACAAAAAAAUUAGUCUGCAGGAGACGAACCCCUCAAACCUUUUUUUUGCCAAGUUCCUUUAUCCCUCUGAUCCCAACAAACCGAAGGCCAAGACCAAAUCUCACAGAAGGGGAACACGCCCGUUAGUCCCACAUGACAUGCUGGCUACAUUUCCUUUUAAUAAAUGUCUCCAGACCAAGAGCA
rnacentral:lncRNA from 1 species